rnacentral:ncRNA from 1 species
UCUUAUCAAGAGAAGCCGAGGGACUGGCCCGACGACGCUUCAGCAACCGGUGUAAUGGUUUAACCCAAACCAUGACCAAGGUGCUAAAUCCAGCAAGCUAAAAACAGCUUGGAAGAUAAGA